UUAAGCGACUAAGCGUACACGGUGGAUGCCCUGGCAGUCAGAGGCGAUGAAGGGCGUGCUAAUCUGCGAUAAGCGCCGGUAAGGUGAUAUGAACCGUUAUAACCGGCGAUACCCGAAUGGGGAAACCCAGUGUGAUUCGUCACACUAUCAUUAACUGAAUCCAUAGGUUAAUGAGGCGAACCGGGGGAACUGAAACAUCUAAGUACCCCGAGGAAAAGAAAUCAACCGAGAUUCCCCCAGUAGCGGCGAGCGAACGGGGAGGAGCCCAGAGCCUGAAUCAGCAUGUGUGUUAGUGGAAGCGUCUGGAAAGGUGCGCGAUACAGGGUGACAGCCCCGUACACAAAAGCGCAUGUGCUGUGAGCUCGAUGAGUAGGGCGGGACACGUGGUAUCCUGUCUGAAUAUGGGGGGACCAUCCUCCAAGGCUAAAUACUCCUGACUGACCGAUAGUGAACCAGUACCGUGAGGGAAAGGCGAAAAGAACCCCGGCGAGGGGAGUGAAAAAGAACCUGAAACCGUGUACGUACAAGCAGUGGGAGCACCCUUCGGGGUGUGACUGCGUACCUUUUGUAUAAUGGGUCAGCGACUUAUAUUCUGUAGCAAGGUUAACCGUAUAGGGGAGCCGGAGGGAAACCGAGUCUUAACCGGGCGUUAAGUUGCAGGGUAUAGACCCGAAACCCGGUGAUCUAGCCAUGGGCAGGUUGAAGGUUGGGUAACACUAACUGGAGGACCGAACCGACUAAUGUUGAAAAAUUAGCGGAUGACCUGUGGCUGGGGGUGAAAGGCCAAUCAAACCGGGAGAUAGCUGGUUCUCCCCGAAAGCUAUUUAGGUAGCGCCUCGUGAAUUCAUCUCCGGGGGUAGAGCACUGUUUCGGCUAGGGGGCCAUCCCGGCUUACCAACCCGAUGCAAACUGCGAAUACCGGAGAAUGUUAUCACGGGAGACACACGGCGGGUGCUAACGUCCGUCGUGAAGAGGGAAACAACCCAGACCGCCAGCUAAGGUCCCAAAGUCAUGGUUAAGUGGGAAACGAUGUGGGAAGGCCCAGACAGCCAGGAUGUUGGCUUAGAAGCAGCCAUCAUUUAAAGAAAGCGUAAUAGCUCACUGGUCGAGUCGGCCUGCGCGGAAGAUGUAACGGGGCUAAACCAUGCACCGAAGCUGCGGCAGCGAACGUAUCACCCAAGACAACUUUACGGAGUUGACGAUUGACGGAGCGAAGCGACGUCAAAGCGUUCAUUAAAGUCGAGUUGGCUUAGGGAUACGUUCGUUGGGUAGGGGAGCGUUCUGUAAGCCUGUGAAGGUGUGUCGUGAGGCAUGCUGGAGGUAUCAGAAGUGCGAAUGCUGACAUAAGUAACGAUAAAGCGGGUGAAAAGCCCGCUCGCCGGAAGACCAAGGGUUCCUGUCCAACGUUAAUCGGGGCAGGGUGAGUCGACCCCUAAGGCGAGGCCGAAAGGCGUAGUCGAUGGGAAACGGGUUAAUAUUCCCGUACUUGGUGUUACUGCGAAGGGGGGACGGAGAAGGCUAUGUUGGCCGGGCGACGGUUGUCCCGGUUUAAGCGUGUAGGUGUGUGUUCCAGGUAAAUCCGGUUCACUUUAACACUGAGGCGUGACGACGAGGCACUACGGUGCUGAAGCAACAAAUGCCCUGCUUCCAGGAAAAGCCUCUAAGCAUCAGGUAACACGAAAUCGUACCCCAAACCGACACAGGUGGUCAGGUAGAGAAUACCAAGGCGCUUGAGAGAACUCGGGUGAAGGAACUAGGCAAAAUGGUGCCGUAACUUCGGGAGAAGGCACGCUGACACGUAGGUGAAGUGAUUUACUCAUGGAGCUGAAGUCAGUCGAAGAUACCAGCUGGCUGCAACUGUUUAUUAAAAACACAGCACUGUGCAAACACGAAAGUGGACGUAUACGGUGUGACGCCUGCCCGGUGCCGGAAGGUUAAUUGAUGGGGUCAGCGCAAGCGAAGCUCCUGAUCGAAGCCCCGGUAAACGGCGGCCGUAACUAUAACGGUCCUAAGGUAGCGAAAUUCCUUGUCGGGUAAGUUCCGACCUGCACGAAUGGCGUAAUGAUGGCCAGGCUGUCUCCACCCGAGACUCAGUGAAAUUGAACUCGCUGUGAAGAUGCAGUGUACCCGCGGCAAGACGGAAAGACCCCGUGAACCUUUACUAUAGCUUGACACUGAACAUUGAGCCUUGAUGUGUAGGAUAGGUGGGAGGCUUUGAAGUGUGGACGCCAGUCUGCAUGGAGCCGACCUUGAAAUACCACCCUUUAAUGUUUGAUGUUCUAACGUGGACCCGUAAUCCGGGUUGCGGACAGUGUCUGGUGGGUAGUUUGACUGGGGCGGUCUCCUCCUAAAGAGUAACGGAGGAGCACGAAGGUUGGCUAAUCCUGGUCGGACAUCAGGAGGUUAGUGCAAUGGCAUAAGCCAGCUUGACUGCGAGCGUGACGGCGCGAGCAGGUGCGAAAGCAGGUCAUAGUGAUCCGGUGGUUCUGAAUGGAAGGGCCAUCGCUCAACGGAUAAAAGGUACUCCGGGGAUAACAGGCUGAUACCGCCCAAGAGUUCAUAUCGACGGCGGUGUUUGGCACCUCGAUGUCGGCUCAUCACAUCCUGGGGCUGAAGUAGGUCCCAAGGGUAUGGCUGUUCGCCAUUUAAAGUGGUACGCGAGCUGGGUUUAGAACGUCGUGAGACAGUUCGGUCCCUAUCUGCCGUGGGCGCUGGAGAACUGAGGGGGGCUGCUCCUAGUACGAGAGGACCGGAGUGGACGCAUCACUGGUGUUCGGGUUGUCAUGCCAAUGGCACUGCCCGGUAGCUAAAUGCGGAAGAGAUAAGUGCUGAAAGCAUCUAAGCACGAAACUUGCCCCGAGAUGAGUUCUCCCUGAGACUUAGAGUCUCCUGAAGGAACGUUGAAGACGACGACGUUGAUAGGCCGGGUGUGUAAGCGCAGCGAUGCGUUGAGCUAACCGGUACUAAUGAACCGUGAGGCUUAACCUU
rnacentral:rRNA from 2 species